rnacentral:rRNA from 1 species
AGAUAAGGAGCUUGCUCCUUUGACGUUAGCGGCGAGACGGGUGAGUAACACGUGGGUAACCUACCGUAUAAGACGUGGGAUAACUUCGGGAAACCGGAGCUAAUACCGAGAUAACAUUUGGAACCGCAUGGUUCUAAAGUGAAAGAUGGUUUUGCUAUCACUUAUAGAUGGACCCGCGCCGUAUUAGCUAGUUGGUAAGGUAACGGCUUACCAAGGCGACGAUACGUAGCCGACCUGAGAGGGUGAUCGGCCACACUGGAACUGAGACACGGUCCAGACUCCUACGGGAGGCAGCAGUAGGGAAUCUUCCGCAAUGGGCGAAAGCCUGACGGAGCAACGCCGCGUGAGUGAUGAAGGGUUUCGGCUCGUAAAACUCUGUUAUUAGGGAAGAACAAACGUGUAAGUAACUGUGCACGUCUUGACGGUACCUAAUCAGAAAGCCACGGCUAACUACGUGCCAGCAGCCGCGGUAAUACGUAGGUGGCAAGCGUUAUCCGGAAUUAUUGGGCGUAAAGCGCGCGUAGGCGGUUUCUUAAGUCUGAUGUGAAAGCCCACGGCUCAACCGUGGAGGGUCAUUGGAAACUGGGAAACUUGAGUGCAGAAGAGGAAAGUGGAAUUCCAUGUGUAGCGGUGAAAUGCGCAGAGAUAUGGAGGAACACCAGUGGCGAAGGCGACUUUCUGGUCUGUAACUGACGCUGAUGUGCGAAAGCGUGGGGAUCAAACAGGAUUAGAUACCCUGGUAGUCCACGCCGU